rnacentral:rRNA from 1 species
UACGUAGGGGUGCAAGCGUUGUCCGGAAUUAUUGGGCGUAAAGAGCUCGUAGGCGGUCUGUCGCGUCGGCUGUGAAAACCCGGGGCUCAACCCCGGGCCUGCAGUCGAUACGGGCAGACUAGAGUGCGGUAGGGGAGACUGGAAUUCCUGGUGUAGCGGUGAAAUGCGCAGAUAUCAGGAGGAACACCGGUGGCGAAGGCGGGUCUCUGGGCCGUAACUGACGCUGAGGAGCGAAAGCGUGGGGAGCGAACAGG